rnacentral:rRNA from 1 species
AACGCGAAGAACCUUACCUGGGCUCGAAAUGUUAUGGACCGGGGUAGAAAUAUCCCCUCCCAGCAAUGGGCCUGUAUAUAGGUGCUGCAUGGCUGUCGUCAGCUCGUGUCGUGAGAUGUUGGGUUAAGUCCCGCAACGAGCGCAACCCUUAUUACCAGUUGCUACCAUUUAGUUGAGCACUCUGGUGAGACUGCCUCGGAUAACGGGGAGGAAGGCGGGGAUGACGUCAAGUCCUCAUGGCCUUUAUGUCCAGGGCUACACACGUGCUACAAUGGUCGGUACAAACCGUCGCAAACCCGCGAGGGGGAGCUAAUCGGAAAAAGCCGGCCUCAGUUCGGAUUGGAGUCUGCAACUCGACUCCAUGAAGCUGGAAUCGCUAGUAAUCGCAGAUCAGAAUGCUGCGGUGAAUACGUUCCCGGGCCUUGUACACACCGGAGUA